rnacentral:rRNA from 1 species
UACGAAGGGUGCAAGCGUUACUCGGAAUUACUGGGCGUAAAGCAUGCGUAGGUGGUGCGUUAAGUCUGUCGUGAAAGCCCCGGGCUCAACCUGGGAAUGGCGAUGGAUACUGGCGCGCUAGAGUGCGGUAGAGGAGAGUGGAAUUCCCGGUGUAGCAGUGAAAUGCGUAGAGAUCGGGAGGAACAUCAGUUGCGAAGGCGGCUCUCUGGACCAGCACUGACACUGAGGCACGAAAGCGUGGGGAGCAAACAGG